CGCUGCUGUUCUUGUGCCUUAUCGGAGUGGUGCCGGGAGGACUGGUAGCUAGAUUAGUGACGGCACUGCUUAGCUCCUCGCAGUCAUCCGUCGCUCCACCAACAAACGACGGAGAAUCUAACGGGAGCUCACAAAAGUAAGACCGCAACAAUGGCCGGUGCCAUGCGGCAUCGCCAUUGUUCUUGUGCCUUAUCGGAGUGGCGCCGGGAGGACUGGUAGCUGGAUUGGUGACGGCGCUGCUCAUCUUCAUGCUGUGAUUGACCACUCCAUCGGUAAAUGACGGAGUAUCCAACGAGAGCCCACAAAAGGAAGACCACGGCUAUGGCCGGAUCUAUGUCACAUCGCUGUUGUUCUUGUGCCUUAUCGGAGUGGCGCCGGGAGCACUGACAGUUGGGUUGGUGACAGCCUUGCCUAGCGCCUU